rnacentral:lncRNA from 1 species
AUUUCAAUCUGAGUUGAGUGUCAAUAAUUUCACACUAUAUGCUUCUCAGUUGGUGUCAAUUCAUUGGCCAAUUCAAUGGUGACAUCACCAAUACCCUUCUAUCUAUACCACCUAGCACAUACAAGAAAAUAUCCGAAUUGAAAUUGAGAAUGCCCAAGGCAACAAACAGGUAACAAAGCAAUCUAGUCGUCAUUUUGACAAGAAACCUUUUUUUACUAUUCUAUUUGCUUAGCUAACACAACGCAAAUAUGUAAUACAUCCAUUCAUCACCUUUGGAAACCUUAGGAUCAACUGCAAAAGAGUUGCACAUACACACACAAAAAGACUGCAGAAGACAUGAUCAUUGAGAGUUGUCAAUUUCACACUAUAUGUUGCUUCUCAAUUUGUGUUGAUUUGUUGACCAAUUCAAUGACGACGCCACUAGUACCAUUAUACCUAUACCACCUAACGCAUACUAGAAAAUAUGUGAAAUUGAGAAUGUCCAAGGCAACAAACAUGUAAUAAAAGUAAUCCAGUCUUCCUUUAAAAUCCUCAGGUAACCAGUUUUCAGUUAGUGAUUUUGCAGUAACACGAUGAAUAAGUGACACUAAGAAUCCACAAAGACUACAGUCCUAUAAGUUUGUGCAAUGUCAUCUAUAAAAUCAUCACUAAAAUUCUUGCCAAUGGACUCAAAACCCACCUACCAAAAAUCAUCUCACCCACCUAAGGUGCCUUUACACCUGGAAAAGCUAUUGGAGACAACAUUGGUAUUGUGCAUGAGGUGAUCCACAAAAUCAAGAGAAUGGGGAGGAAAGAAAAAGGGUGGUUCACUCUAAAACUAGACAUGGCGAAAGGAUAUGACAGAAUUGAAUGAAGUUUCUUGUUGGAUAUUUUUGAAUGGCUUGGAUUUAGUGAUAGCUGGUGUAGUAUGAUAAAGUUCUGCCUCUCCACAGUUUCUUAUAGAAUCCUGUUAAAUGGAUACUCCAUAAAUGAAUUUAAGCCUGACAAGGGCCUGAGACAGUGCGACCCUCUUUCCCCUUACCUGUUCAUUAUGGUAAGCGAAGCUUUGUCCAGACUACUAGCUAAAACAAAAGUGGAGAAGAAAAUAACAGGUUUUAAGGUGUCAAUGAAGGCACCGACAAUCAGCCACCUAUUAUAUGCAGAUGACUUGAUUAUCUUUGGGAAGACAACAUUGGCAGAGGUCAGGAAUCUGAAAGAAAUUCUGGAUGAAUAUUGUGCUGCAUCUGGACAACUAGUGAAUUUUGAAAAGUCGAGGAUCUUCCUUAGUAAGUCUAUCCAUCAUAGACACAAAAGGAUGAUUAAAAGUGUCCUAAAGGUUGGUGAUCUAACAGUGAAGGAUAAAUAUUUCAGAACACCUUUGAUUUUAUCUAGAUCCAGAAUCAAGGAUUUUUCUUAUCUAGAUGACCAAAUGAAAGGGAGGAUGGAAGUAGGGGUGGCAAUCAUACCUGACGACCCGAAACCCGACCUGAACCUGACCUGAACUGGGUCAGGUUUGGGUUUGAGUAUUUGAGGUUUUGGGCCUGAUCAGGUCGACCCGAUUGACCUGAUAUGUAAUCAGGUCAGGUUCAGGUUUCCCUUCCAGACCUGUCGGGUCGACCCGAAACCUGACCAAAAUAAACCUACUCCAUUUUUUAAUCUCUCGAAACUAAAGCCUCAAAACAUUCUCUGCGCCGUUUUCUAAAUGGAUGAGGAAGAAGAAGAGGUUUCAGCAACUUGGAUUCGAUCUACCUUAUUCUUCAACUGCUCAUUCAUCAUCAGUUGUCAUCUAAUCGGCCUCCACGAGAAAUCUGAACACUUUCUUUCUCUCUAUUUCUUCAAACUUUAAAGAUUCAUAAAGAGAGUUUCCCUUUUUUCCAGUCAACAAUAGAAAGGUAAAUUUUUGAGUUAAUCUUGUGUUUUUUAUGUUUUUUUUUACUAUUUUCAAUUUGAUCUUAUUGCUAUAGAUUUCAAUUGCACUUAAAACACCCAUUUUCUUAGUAACAACUGAUUGAUUAGUGAGUUGUUUUAGUGAUUAGUGGAAAUUUUAUGUAAGUUUGUUUCAAAAAUAUUGAAUUCUCGUAUUCUGUUUGAUGUAUUUGUUGUACAAAGUUAAGAAAUUGGAUGAGCAAUCUUGUGUUUUUCAAUUUGUAAAACACUAAUGGAUUGCAAUUUUACACUAUUUCAUUACCAUACAUUCUAAGUGUAGAAACAUGGUACACUGCCCAAAUUUUGGUACUCUGUAAAUGGAGUUGUCAACUGCUGGUAGGGGAACAACUAUCAAUAUAUUACUGCUAAGUGACACCUUAGGUACUCUUUAAUAGCCUUUGACACUUUUUAGUGUUCUGUAGACUUGUUUUGUCACAACUCAUGUGGAGGAAUAGAAAAAAUGACUCUAAUUGUCGUUCAAUGUUGAGUUCUUAUUGAACUAUAUAUUUUUUGCCUCUUAACUUAUAAGAAGACAAAUAAAGGGUGAAUCUGUUAGUAAGGACAUUCAUUAUUCAAACUAAGUGUCAUAUAUGCAUAUUAGCUAUUGAUUUGUGUAUCGUGUGUUAAGCAUUUGUGAUAAGCAAUGGAUUCAGGGUAGUCACAUUUUGUAUUAUCAUUGAAUUGUUAGUCCUUGUGUUUUCAUUUUGUUUUGAUUUGAAAGAUCAUACUUAGAUACACUACAUCUGGACAAGGGAUGAAUGGUUGUCUUUAAUUUUUUGUGUACGUCUUAAAUUACAUUAGACUAUUGAGUAAGAAACUAUAGUGCCAACUGCCAAGGCUUUAUAUAGUCUUUCUCAUGUUAAGCAAGUGUCGAGCUUGGUAACUAGUUUUGAGUAUGUUUGGUCUUGAAACAACACAAUGAUUUAUGCCCUAAUUGUUUUACUGUGUAGCUAAUGUUUAAAGUAUUUUCUCAUUCUCAUUUUAAUGCAAUUAUACGAUCCUAUGCAUUUUCCAGAUUUACAAAUCAUGUUCCCUCAAUGCAGUUUUAUCUAAUUGUGUGUUGGUGUUAGGGUAUUGGCAUAUUGCACAACAAACGGGUGGUCUAAGGUAAUGCCUAUCGUUCCAAAGGAAAGUCAAGGUGGAAGGGUCGAGACAAGAGAAAAAAGAAAAAACAUAUGUUGGACUACAGGCAAAUAUAUAGUUUCGUGGAAGGAAAGCAUGGAAAUGAUCUGGACUAUGGAGUCAGUUUCGAUCCUAAUUACAUAUAGGAUUAUGGAGUUAGUUUCAAUUUUCAAAGUAAAUUGUUGUUGUGGCAGUAGACCAAUACUCUUGUUUCUUGAGACACUCAAGUUGUUCCAUUGUUUAAUAUAUUGUAAGUUGCAGAAUGGAUUUUUUUUUUCACAAAUUUGAAAGAGCUACUGAAAAUUAUCUAUUAACUAGAUUAAAUUUUGCAAGUACGUACAAAUGUAUCAGGUUUUCAGGUCGACCUGAACCUGACCUGAUAACCUGACAGGUCAGGUUCAGGUUUCCAUUUUGAGCAAAAACAAGUCAUCAGGUCAGGUUCAGGUUUUGGGCUUGAGACCUGAAAACCCGACCGACCUGACCCGAACCUGACAUGACCCGACCUGAUUGCCAGCCCUAGAUGGAAGCCUGGAAAUCAAGUGUUUUGUCUAUGGCUGGUAGGGGGUAAUGAUUAAAGCUGUAGCAGAAUCUUUACCAGUAUACUCUAAGUCAACUUUUUUAAUACCUAAAACCAUUUCUGACAAGCUAGAUAAAACUUGUAGAGAUUUCUGGUGGUGUGGUACAAAGUAACAAAAAUCCAUUCACUUAUGCAGAUGGUCUACCAUUUGCAAAAAUAAGAGAGAUGGAGGUCUUGGAUUUAGGAAGUUCAGAAACACGAACCUUGUACUUUUGUCUAAACUAUACUGGAAGCUGCUUACUGAUCCUAAUGCCUUGUGGUCUAAAGUAAUGAUGGAGAAAUAUGAAAAAUAUCUUACUCUUGAGUCUUGAUAGCAACAUUGAAGCACCGCCGUGGGCUCACCUAUCCUCAAAGGUAUUUUAGCUACUAAGGAGAUUAUAAGAAGAGGGUGUAUCUGGAGUUUGGGAGAUGGGAAAACAACAAAAUUUUGGAAAGACCCUUUGUUAUUGUUUUUUGGGAAACCGAUGAGUUUGUGUGAGCUUUGGCCGGAAGGUUCAUCUACUGAUUGUACUGUGUCAAAUUUUCUGAAUACUAAUGGAACUUGGAAAAUAUCCCUUCUGAGAGAUUUUCCCCUUCCUAUAAAAGAAUCCAUUAUGAAAGUGAUCACUAGACCAAGCACUGGAGAUAGAAGAAUGUGGUGUCUUACAAAAAAAAAAAAAGGUACUUUUAGUGUCAAAUCUGUUUACUGGGAUGUCAGUGAUCUGGAAACCAAUGGUGCUACAUCUUCUAACUUUGUCCUAUCUUCCAUUAACACCUAUAUUUGGAGCACAAAGUUGCCCUCUGACCUUCAGCUCUUCCUGUGGAGAGCUACCCAUAAUAUAUUGCCAACUACCAAUAAACUCAACUUGCACCACCUCAAUAUUGAUCCAGUUUAUAUGAUGUGUGGGAGGGAAAGAGAGACUAUCCAUCAUAUCCUUUUUUACCGUCCUUGGACUUUAAAAGUGUGGCUUAGCUCACCUCUGUCUAUUAGAAUAUACCAAAAUUCUUGUGAUGGUGUUAGCUGGAUUAAUUUUUUCAAAAGCAUAGAGGAACAGGAUGACCAUAAUAUAAAUCGAAUUUUCUUUAGCUUAUCACAUUAUGCUAUCCAUUUGGAGAGCGAGGAACAUUAUUAGAUUUGAUAAUCAACAAUUUACUUGUGAUAACACAAUAGCAUGGGUUGUGCAUGAAUACAAUAGUUGGUUGAAUGCUCUGGAGUUUGUCCCUACAUCUAGUUUGCUCACUGUGGGAUCCCCUUCCGUGGGAAUGGGACACACAGAACCUGUUUAGAUCCAUCAUCCUCCUAGGUGGCUAAAAGUGAAUUUUGAUGCAAGUUUUUUCAAAUAGAAUGGUCUAGGAGUUGUGGCUGUGAUAGUAAAAGAUUCAGAGGGAAGGAUUGUGGCAGGUGACACAACAAAAAUUAAAGCAAAGGAGACGGGGGAGGCGAAAUUUCAAGCAGUUGAAAUGGCCCUCAAGUUUGCUCUGGACAGAAAUUUUGUGGAUGUCAUAAUUGAAGGAGACAACUCCAAUGUCAUAGCAUGCUUACAGAAGAAGACUACACCCCCAUGGAACACCAGAUCUCUCGUAGAAUUUAUCCAGCUUAUGUAUUGUCAAUUUAGAAAUCUGUCUUUCAUUCAUGUUGUCAGGUCUGUUAAUGUGUUGCCCAUAAACUGGCUAAAUGGGCGUGGGAGUUAGGCACUGUGGACUGGAACCCGAUUCAGUCAGACCUGAUAUGUUCUAUUGUUGGUCAUUUUAAUGAAUUAGAAACCCCUGACUAGCACUAUGCUAAUUGGGAGGCUUUUAUCAAAAAAAAUAAAAAAUAAAAAAAUCCAUAAAGAUAAUUUGCUCCUGGCAUGGUACAAUAAAUGAAUGUUAGAAAUAAAAAUUAAACUAAAUAUUACUUCGGGUAGCUGCAAAUCAAAAUGAACAAACCGAAUUAAAUUAGUGGCUGAAUCGUGGACUAGGUCGCUCUCUUUAAGAUGUUUUAUGGCUUUGCCUCUGUUAUAGUCACGCCGUCCCCAGGAUAAAACAACCAAAAUCUAUGUCGAAUUCCUUUUGCACAAGGAAGAAUUCGUUCUCACUUUACCACUCUUUCUUAUUCAAGAAAGCAUAAAGAAAAACUAUUUUUUCUUGUGUGUGUCUCUCUUAUCCACUAGUCCUUUUAUAGCUAAAAAAGAGAUGUUAAUGGUGGAGAAAAUCUCUCUUAAGAUUAAACCAUAACAGUAAAAAACGGCUAGUGAAAGAAGACUAGUCAAAUCAGCACGUUUUAAGCAAUUAAAAUGCUAGGGUUUAAAGACUUAAAAAUUUUUGGGAGCAAUCUUUGUUAGGGGAUUUCUAAUUUUGUGUUCUUUUUGUAAAGGGUGUAAGAGCAUUCCCACUGCAGGGUGGAUUUAUCCACCUCCACAUAGGCGCCAGGUAUGUGCCACUAGGAUAAAUCCACCUUGUUGACUCAAGGUGAAACUCUACAAGGUGGAGAGUUGCCAAGGGAAGGUGGACUCUAUGUUAAUAAGAAGUGGAUUUUUUAAAAAAUCCGGACGACAUGUCACAUGCUGUCCCAAUUUUUUUGCAAAAAAAUAGGGAGACGGCAUGUGACAUGUCCUCCAAGAGACCAAAAGUUUUAAAACACUACGUAAAACUUAAAAAAAAAACGGACGACAUGUGACAUGCCGUCCGAUUGUAAUUUAAAUUAGGACGGCAUGUGACAUGCCGUCCGGUUUUACCACCUGUGGGAUCCCACUUUUGAAAAUCCACCUUCCUUUGGGACAUUAUUUUGAGUUUCAAGGUUGAUUUAUCCACCUCACCCCCAAAAUCCACCUUGCAUUGGGAAUGCUCUAAGAGUGAGUUGUGUGAGAUAUUAUCAUGUAAUACUUUUUGGUUAAAGAUAAUAAAGUUCCUUUAUUUUGUCUGUGGUGGUUUAUUCCCUACAAGAGUUCCACCAUAUAUAUUUUAUGCGGUUAAUUUUAUUUUUUAUUAUCAUUACUUGUUUCUUACAUAUCUUUGGGUUAUUCGGAUUUUGCCCAACUGUCUUCGGAAGUGAUAUAAACAAAUCAUCACCUAUGGAAACCCUAGAAUCAACCGGAGAUAGAUGACUUUAAUCUCACCCCAAGUUGAGUGUCAUUAAUUUCACACUAUGUGCAGUGUCGAUUCCGUUGGCAAAUAAGAGUGACAUACUGACAUCAGCUUUAUUGUAUUGAUCAUUGGACUAUGGACAUUUAUUGGACCUGACUAUUGGGCCUUAUCAGGUGCUAGGUCCAGACACAGUCCAUUAGCGGACAUGUAAACAAAAACCCUAUCUGAUGGUUGUCGUUCUUAUUUGCCAACGGUCAUGUUUUCAAAACUUCAGUUAGGAUUAGGACUCACUACCUGUUUGACGAAAUGCCUCAAACAAUACUCUACAAUUCCACACGACCACACUCGUCAUCAUCUACCAACAACUUCAUGAUUCGAGCUUCCAUGGAAAACGGUUCCCCUUUAAAGGCAUUAUUACUUGAUUACAAAACUCUUCUUCUCUCUGGUUUAUUCCAACCUGAUUAUAGAACAUAUCUAGUGUACUUGAAGCUUGUAAAAUGUUAAAUGACCUUAAAAACUACAUUGGGGACUCAUUCAAGGAUUAUAAAAUCUGGGUUUGAAUCAAACCAAUCUUUGUUGACUUUUGUUGUUUGUGAUCACACUUAUUAUGGUCGUCAAGUGCAUGAUGAAAUUCCUGAGUGGGGUUUUAAUAUUGUUUCGGCAAAUGUACUUAUUGCUAGUUAUUUGAAACUGGGAGAGUUUGAUGAACCUAAUUGGAUAUUUCGUAAAAUGUAUCGUAGAGAUGUUGUUUCAUGGAAUUCAAUGGUCAUGGGGUGUGCUAGAAAUGCUCGUCCAAAGGAGGCUAUAAGUUUGUUUCGUAAAAUGAUUAAGUCAGGUUUUGAACCUGAUGGAUUCUCUUUCACAUCAGUUUUUACUGCUUGUAGUAGAAUUGGAGCUUUGAGUCAUGGAGAAUGGGCUCAUGGCUUAGUGGUUGAAAAGGGAGUUGAGACUAAUUUCAUAUUGAGUCCUGCGUUGAUUGACAUGUAUUCGAAAUGUUGAAACAUUAGGUUGGAUAAGAAUGUAUUUGAUAGUGUUUGUAGAGAUGAUGUAUUCAUGGGCUUGCUUUAGAUCAUUAGAUGCAAUGACAUUUUUCUCACGAACCAAGGAUGAAAAUGUUUUGCCUGACUCAAUCACCUUUGUUGGAUUAUUAACUGCUUGUAGUCAUUGUGGUCUAGUUGAAGAGGGUCAGCAAUUCUUUGAAAGUAUGAAAAGGUAAUCCUUCAUUGACCCCCAACUUGAGCAUUAUGGAGCAAUGGUCGAUCUUUUGGGCCGAGCUGGCUGUGUGGGAGAAGCUUAUAGAAUGAUCAAAGAAAUACCUAUGGAACCAGAUGUUGUUAUAUGGAGGGCAUUGCUUAGUGCCUGUAGAACUCAGGUCAGGUCCAAUUUGGGUGAAUUUGCUGUUGAAGAAAUAUCACAUUUUGAGAUGUAUAAAAUGAACUCUUUUGCAAGGAGAUGGGAUAAUGUAGAAAAAUUGCGGAAGUAAUGAAAAAGAAGGGAGUAAGGAAAAAUCGUGGAUUGAGAUGGGAGGUAUCAUUCACCAAUUUAAGGCGGGCGAUUGAUCACACCCUGAUUCCAACGCCAUUUAUAGGGUGUUGGAUGGAUUGAUCCAAAGGAUCAAGAUUGAUGGGUUUGGAAACAGUGGAACUGGUUUUGAUGGAUGUUUCUGAGGAGGAAAAGGAGAGUAAUUUGAAUAGUCAUAGUGAGAAGCUUGCGACCGCAUCUGGGAUCCUUAGGACUAGCCCAGGAACAGAAAUUAAGAUAUCAAAGAAUCUUCGAAUUUGCUACGAUUGCCAUUCUUGGCUGAAAAUGGUUUCAAAAGUACUAUAUAGGGUGAUAAUCACGAGGGAUCAAAAUUCGUUUUCAUCGAUUUGAAAGUGGUUCAUGCACUUGUAAAGACUACUGGUAGUCAGUGUAUGCAUGUGGGUGUGACUCUUUUGAAGUUACCAUAAUGGUGGGGGUUACCAGAUAACAAAGUACAAGAACUGAUUUGAUUCUUUACUAAGGUAUUAUAUUAAUUAUUUCUUUAUUUGAAUCAUUUUUUUUUACUUAGUAAUUAGUAUCAAAUCAAAGUUUGCCGUCACCUCAUCAUGUCUGCCAAAUAGAUCUGUAAUUUUUCGUGAUUUUAAAAUCUCGAAGAAAAAAUAAGAGGAAAUAUUUGUUUUCGAACAAAGGACUAGACUAUCAAGAGCUAUCAAAAACAUACCAGUCUUUACGCCAUGAGUAUGGUGAGAAUGAGAGAGGGUUUAGUUUCAAAAACAGAAAGCUACACAUAUUUGAGUUUACCGUUUUUUCUUUUAUGGUUUUUUCUUUUAUGGUUAUGUUAUUGCUAGUGAGUCCUCAAUAGGUGGUCUGUAUAGGUGUUUUGGUCUGUACAUGGCGAGUUUGUCCUCUAAAGGAUUAUAGAUGAUAUAUACAUGAUGAUGCACUUUCAAGCAUUAAAAAUCUGAUUCAUAAAUUCUUUGUGUAAGCAAAUAAAUAGUGUGAUUCAACUUUUGGAUACCAUAUAUGAUACAGAAAUUGAGUCCUAAUUCAAAUAUAUACUAACACAGAGCUCACUAUUUCAAGCAUGGCUAUAAUACAGUAGUUGCAUAUGAAUUGAACAGAAGUUACAUUGAACAGAAGUUACUUCAAAAUAUAUACAUCUGAUUAAAACUAUAUGUAAGUGAAUCUCUCCUGACUUAUAUAUGAUGCAGUCUAACCUAUGAUGUUCCUAGCUUUGAUAAUCAAGUUUCUAAUCCAACAUAUUAUAAGGCUUAUACAAGGUAAAACUAAACAAACAUAUAUAAUCAUGAUUUUUUUUCUUUUAUGGUUUUGUUUCAAACAGAAUAGGACCUCCACCACAUUCACAUGUUAAUCUGAAUCCUACAUGAUACUACUACAAGCUGCUUGAACUGAACAACACAUAGUAGAAGCUGUUAGUAUUACAUUAUAAUCAUGGAAAAAUACACAUGUUGCUAUUAUUCCAUUUAGAAGACCAUAACCACACAACGAAGCAAAGUUAAUUUGCUGCUUUAUGCUCAGUGCCAAUUGACAAGGCUGUCAAAGUGAUGAAACAGUGGUCGAGUGGUCACGCCUCUUUCUGUGUCUGAGAGAUCCAGUGUUUUGGAAAAACCAUUUUCCAAGUCAAGAAAUAUUAUUGUGUUGGCGUGGUGAAUUAGAAGUACAGACCUUCUUUGAUAGCUGGUAGGAGAAGAAAAGACGCGUGCAGGGUUCGUUAAUUCCAUUGGAUGAAGAUUGAUUGUGCGUUCCUUUCUCCAGUGGCCGGCAUGUAGCCCCCAGAGGUCCAGCUGAUGGCAAUUUGUGAUUGCAUCCGUGAGGCAUAUAACAUCGUUGAACUCCAGUAUGCUGCCAGAUCGGCCAAUUUGGCAUGUGAUUUGAUGUGGAAGUUUUGCUUCGCUGAAUCUCAUAUCCUCUGCAUUCAUAGAGUACAAAUAUGUUGCCCCGUCUGAGUUUUUGCAUCCAAACCAGUGGUACUCCUUUUUAACAACACUCAUAGUGGUGUAGGUGGAGACAAUUUGAGAAAUGCCAAAACCUGUUUGUAUUUCUUGCCAUCCAAUAGGGUUCCCUUCUGUGAAGACAAAACAUACUGUUGAGUCCCUCGAGACGACAAUGACCUUAUACUUGAUUUCAUCAAAAAGCUCCUCAGGAGCCAAAGCAAAAUGCCAGAUGCAAUGUGAAGUAUGUAUGACCGGAAGCUUGGUACAAUGGCCAGUUACGGGAUUGCAAACGUAAAGCUGAUUUGGCUUGCUCGUGCUUUCUAAUAGUAAUAAUCCAUCGUAUGAAGCCUUGAAGAAGAUAUUAUCGUGUAAAGUUUUCGAAAAGAAGUCUAUGAUCUCUCGAUACAACUCAAAUGGCUUUUCUGCUUUUGUUUUUCUAAUAUCUUCUUUCAUUUUAACAGAAAAGUAAUCACGGUGAUAUGGCCUUGGACAUGUUCUCUCGUAGACAAAACGUUUUUCAAAAGGAAAAUCUUUAUGGAAAGAUAUUAAAUGGUUGCUUGCAAAACUUGGAGAUGACAUUAAUUUGAACCAGAAUUUACAUACCAUUUUCACCUGAAUAAGGAAUGUUGCUGGUAGUUUGAGCAAGAAUUGGGUUUCAAUGUCAUCUUCAAGAAUAGGAGGACGAACAUGAUGAAGAGUCACUUCUUUAAUCUCUGUCAACAAGAACAAAGCUUCAAACUCUGCAAGUGUGGGAAGAAUCUGUGGAUAGAGCACCUCUGAAAUCCCAAAAUCAACAACAACGGGAAGAAAUUCUGGAAAGAUCACCUCUGAAAUCUCACGGGUAUAUGCUCUUGCUUUAUUCUUUUUAGCUGCUCUUGCAUCAUUCUUUAUCGAAUGCAUUUUCUUGAAUAUGCUCAUGGUGUCUUUAUACUUAUUAGCUCUUUUCUUCUUGAAAGACCUUAAUACUCUGAACUUGCUUCUUCUUCUUCUUCUUUCUCUUCCUCUGCUUGAGGCCAUAUUCAGUUUUUCUUGAAACAACAAUGAUCGAUGAAACUCCGACUCUGUUCGUGUUACUUGUGUGACUUGGGUGCAGUUUAUAAUUCGAAAUUCUCAAUCCGCACAAUUAUAUAGAUAUAGAUAUAUAUAUAGAGGCGGCGAAAGAAUUUUGGAGAGACUGUAAUGAACGGUUAUUGGGCUUUAUUUACUUUAACGUCCAAGCCCAACGUUACUCCUUUUCUUGUUCUUCUUCUUCCUGAUCACAUCACAAUCCCUCGUUUCCUUGGUUUUCGUUUCCUUGGUUUGAACUUUGAACUCUUAAUUAGAAUUAAAAGUUUAGAUUUUUAUUGUUUUUGUUUGGAUAUGAAAGUGAUUUAAAUUAUGGAAUAAGUGAUUCUGUAUUGGUAAAGAGGGAUUUCGCAUAUUCUACACUACUUAUUACUCAUUUUGGGAGAGUGGGGGUUAUUUGAUUUGAUAGUUGAUACCCAUUUUGUGAUUUUGAGUUAAUUUGUCUCUGUUGGUGAUUUAAAUUUUGUGUUUUUAGAUCUGCUACAUACAUUUUUCAUAUUUGCGGAGGGAUCUCAAUUUCAUUGACCACACUAGUAAUUGGUGAUGGGGAAAUGCUUAAACGUAGCCGUACCCUUCUCUUCAGUCUUCAUAUUGUAUAUUUGAAUUUUUGAUGCUCUAAUUGUAUUGAUGAAUUGUUGAAUGAAGUUUGCUUUGGUUGUGUAGAUUUCAGCGGGCAAAACCGAUAAUCAUAAAUCCAGGGUUGUAUAUGACUAAGAAAGCUGAUGUCUUUGGGAUAACACAGAGAAGAAGUGUUACCACUGCUUUCCAACUCUUUACAGGUGAAAUUACAUCAAUAUUUUUUUACUAUUAAUGAUUUGGGGUUCUGCUUCAUUCAUUCAUUCAUUUAAGUUUGAUCUAUAUUAUUGCCUUCCAUUUAAUUUCAGAGUCAUAGUUUAGAUAAUUGGUCUUUUUUAAAGAAAUUUUGUUGAUAGAAGUUGUAGGUUUUGAUUAUGUAUAAAACAGAUGGCAUUAUGAAGUCUAAUGGUUAUCUACUUACAAGUUCAUGGAAUGCAUCUGAUGCUUUCCAUUGUUUCCUUCACUGGUAUCACCAAUAUUUAUGUGACCAUCUCCUUUUAUGCACUUGAUGUGACGAGUUUCAAACUUUAUUAGACAAAAAUACUAUUACAAUUGCUCUAGUGCUGAAUGCUUAUGGAAAGUUGCACGUUUUUGAGAAGGCGAGCUUCUAUAUAAUGAGAUUGAAGAAUGGGGUUGUGUUUUCCCUGAUGAAGUACACUUUUUAAACGGGGCACAGGGGAAUCUUGAGGCAGUGGAAUCGUUGUUUGAUAGCCUGGAGUGUAAUACCAAUGUAAACAAGUGAGAAUUGAUGAUGUGUCGAGAAUUAUCGAAAGGCGAAAAUAAAGAGGACUUACGGAAGCAUUGACAUCAUAAAUUCAUAGGGAUGGUUAUUCUUGGUGACCAAUUGUCAAUAACCAUGCAAUUGUUAUUGAGGUCUGAGAAGAUGAGAGCAGCUAGGUAUUUUCUUUGAUUCUACUACAACUGCUCUAGUGCUGGAUAUUUUCUGAAUGUUUGUUGCUCAUAUUCAAGAAGGCAGAGUUUCUGUAUAAAGAAUAAAGAGAAGCAAGUAGAGGGUUUUGUUUUCUGUAAACAAGUACAGUUCAAAAUGCUAAGCCUAUGUUGUGCACAAGGGACUAUCGAUGAGUUAUCGUUUGAGAGUGUGGUGUCUAAUCCCAGUGUAAACAUGCUAGGGAAGUUAAUCUUUUGGUUCCAGCAUUUUCAAAAUUAGAGAAACUGGCAAGAUGAUGCAUCUAGACGACUAGACUUAGAAGUCCAGGAAGCAAAAGGAAACUUACAGAAGCAUCUGCGCCAUAAAGACAUGAUAAUAGAUAAUCAUAAUAGCCAGUGUAAUUUCAUAGUAAAUGUUAUAUUAUGCUCCCGCGUUACAUUUUUAAUUGGUUACUAUGAUUCUCAACUGUCAGUAAGGAACCCCUUACGAUGAUGCUUGUUUGAGUAUUACUUCCUAGGGUAGGCUUUACGAUCAUCACCUUUCUUUUACCCCUCCCUCCCACACUCAGCUCUGAUGUUCAUAUCCAUUCAGUAAUGCAUUUCUCUCACACUCUGCUCUGACGAUUCUCUUUUAUUUCAUUAAUACAUUUCCUCAGGUUGAGAUUGGACUUUGAUGGUUUAAAGUCUUCUUACUUCGUGGUUGAGCUUCUAGUUUUUUCCAGACUUGGUUGGGCUAAAAUUGUCAACCUUUUCUUUUAUGGUUUAGUUUCAAACACAGAGCACUCUACACAUAUUCCAGUUCACUUGUUUUCUUUGAUUCUUUCAUGGUUUUAUUUUAAACAGAAUAGGACCUCCACUACAUUCACAUGUUAAUCUGAAUCCUACAUGAUACUAGUAAAACCUGGUUUUAGUGAACAUAGUGUUACGGCAAAGUACAUUCACAUAGUAGAAACUGAUAGUAUUAGGAUCUUAACUAUUAUUAUGGCAAAGUACACAUAUUACUAUUAUUUCAUCAUUCAGAAAAUCAAAACCACACAACCACAAAUCUGACAAACUCUUUCACUGUUAAGGUUCGAAAACCCCUUUCGCUUUAUUGUUUGCUAUCUCAGCUGUCAGUAAGAAACCCCUUAGAUGAUAAAAUGUUCUGAGUACUACGUAGUAGAGGGCUUCCUGCCUUGUUUGCACUAUGUUUCUUCUAGUAAGUACCCCCUCCCUCCCAUUGUGCCACAGUCAGCGUUGAUGAUCAUUUCCUUUCAAUAGUACAUUAUGCUCAUGCUCUACUCUGAUGAUGCUCUUUACAGGUGAAAUUGUUCUCCUAUAUGGUGUUUCUCACCAUAUCUUCUUCUACUACUAGACACAUUUAUAGAAGAAAUUCAAACAACCCCACAAACACAAACACAAACACUUCUACUUCACCUUUCCAUCAUCAUCACUGUUAAUCCCAAGUUUAUUUAGACCACCAUGUUGAUAUGGAUGAUCUUAUGUUAUCCAAGUCAAACUUGAACACCACAAGACCUCUACUCUUUACUUUCACCGUAUAAAGGUAGACAACUUUCUCUUCGUUUCAUGGUUUCCCUCCUUUCUCGUGAAUCUGAUUGGCAACGCACUCUUACUCUUCUCGAUUGGAUGGUUGAAGAAGUAUGUUAUGUUCCUUCGGUUUUUGCUUACAAUGUAACCAUUCGUAAUGUUCUUAGAGCUAAACAAUGAGAAUUUGCAUCAGGACUAGUUGAAGAAAUGCGUCAAAGAGCGAUUUCGCCUCAUCCUUUUACUUAUUCUACGGUUAUUACUCAUUUUGGGAAAGAGGGCUUGUUUGAUUCUGCUUUGUCUUGGUUACAACAUAUGGAGCAAGACCAAAUUCGAGGUGACCUUGUUUUGUAUAGUAAUCUUAUCGAGCUUUUGCGCAAACCUCAUGAUUAUUGUAAAGCAAUAUCUUUUUUUAUCGAGAUAAAAGAGUUCAGGUAUUACUCCUGAUCUUGUUGCUUACAAUUCCAUGAUCAAUGUGUUUGGAAAAGCUAAGCUUUUUCGUGAAGCAAAACAGCUUAUUUACGAAAUGAGAGAAGCUGGGGUUGCUCCUGAUACUUUUAGUUAUUCUGCACUUAUUAGUACUUUUGUUGAGAAUUAGAGAUUUAUUGAGGAAUUAUCUAUCUUCUCUGAGAUGAAAGAAGUUAGAUGUCGUUUUGAUCUCACUACGUGUAAUAUAAUGAUUGAUGUAUAUGGUCAGCUUGAUAUGGCUAAAGAAGCAGAUAGACUGUUCUGGAGUAUGACAAAAAUGGAAAUUGAAUCCAAUGUUGAAAGCUAUAAUCCUCAUUUGAGGGUGUAUUGUGACACUGAGUUAUUUGGGGAAGCUAUUCAUUUAUUUUGGUUAAUGCAGAAGUAGGAUAUUGACCAGAAUGUUGUUACAUACAAUACAACGAUCAAACUUUAUGGAAAAUCGUUGGAGCGUGAGAAGGACACGAAUCUUGUGCAAGAGAUGCAGACUCUAGGGAUUGAGCCAAAUGUUGUUACUUAUUCGACAUUCAUCUCAAUAUGGGCAAAGGCAGGGAAACUGGAUAGGGCGGCAAUGCUGUUUCAAAAGCUAAGAACCUCUGGGGUUGAGAUUGAUCAAGUUCUGUACCAAACGAUGAUUGUGGCGUAUGAAAGGGCAGGUUUUUGGUUGCAUGAUUGAUCUCUUGUCAAGGAACAAAAAGCAUGCAAAUGUUAUUGAGGUGUUUGAGAAGAUGAAAGCAGCUGGAUAUUUUCCCGAUUCUAUUACAAUCGCUUUAGUGCUGAAUGCUUAUGGGAAAGAGAUGCAAGAAGAGGUUGCGUUUUUCCUGAUAAAGUACUCGUUCAAAUGUUGAGCCUUGAUGGGGCACAACUCACAAGGAAAUCUUGAGGCAGAGCCUGGAGUGUGAUCCCAAUGUAAACAAGCGAGAGCUUAAUCUUGUGGUUUUGAUGCAGCGAAAGCUAAAAUAAACUUAAUCUAACAAUUGAAAUUGCAAGGAAUUGAAAUAACGGAAAGAAAUUGCAAUAAGUAAAAGCUGAAAUUUAAAUAACUUGAAAGUAAAUUGCAGAAAUUAAAGAACUUGAAAUAAAACUUAAUUGAAAGACAAUAAUCUAAAUAAUAAAUAAUAAAUUCAUCAAUCAUCAAUCUUGGCUAAGAAAUUCGUUUUUGGAGCUCUUUAUAUAGAUAACUCCCUUGACACAACUAGGAAACCUACUAGAACUUGAAUUACUUGUUCCCUAAUGUAUGUAUUACCUUUUGGCAACUUCCUAAGCCUAUUAGAACUCAAAAUAAGACUUCUAGACACUUCUAAAGACACUCUAAGUAAUAAAAGCGAAAAUAACAAUUUAGAAAUACUAUUUAGGCUUCUAAAUAAAUCAUAAACCCAAAUAGGAAACCAAUUGGUGUAUGUGUUCUGUCCUACAUCAGGUUUCCAGCAUUAUUGAACUACAAAAUAAGUGACUAGAUGUUGCAUAAAAAAUAAGCAGUCAAAGAAGCAAAAGAGGACUUAUAGAAGCAUUGACAUCGUAAAAUCAUGACAAUGGUUACUCAUGGUAACCAAUUGUAAAUUGCACAGGUGUUGUUUGUAAUUCUCUGUUGACGUAUAUAGCUUCUUGUAGCUCAUCUUUGAUAACUUUAGUUUCAUAGUUUAUUAAAAAAUGUAUCUUUGGUGAUAACUAUUGUUUUAUACAUUUGUUGGUUAUUUGCAGAGUAUUAGGUUAGUAAUGCUUCAUCGCUCGUUUUAUCUUACAUUUCCUGCUCAGGUAGUUGACAUACUGGUAGGUUCUUUUUCUUUGUGGGUUGAUAGAUAUAAUUUUUUUUUUACUUACGCUCUGCAUACCUUGCUUUUCUGGUCUUAUUUUUCAGAUCAAUUCUUAUGGACUCAUCUUUCUUUAUGUUUGCCUCCUGCAAUUUUUUUCUCUCAUUAACUAAAGCCGUAAAACUUUUGUUGUUUCCUUCUGUGGCUACAUACAUGGGGUGAAGUGAUGAGUGUAGUGUCUGUAUGGAUAUUGUUAACUACUGAGUAUAGUUAUGAAUAAUAUAGUGAUUUGAUUAUGUAAAAUGAAAAUUUAUUGGUCUACCAUUGGAAGAUAUUGAGCACUGUUGCCAGGUAUUCAUUACUAGCAAGAUACCAUAUAACUUAUUUCUUUCAUUACCUUCACUUUUGCUUUGCUUCUAUUUUCAACUGUGUUCGUUGUUGUAAUGUUGUGGAUUCAUUACAUAUUUUUUUCUUUGCCCGGGAGGCCGGAGCAGUUAUGAUUUGUGUAUUUUUUUGUUUCAGGCUGUUUAGAGCGCAUUAUUUCUUGCAGCAUGGUUUUUUUCUGGUGCAUAUAACAAGGGAGACUUUCAUAGUUGAUGUAGCAGAAGCAGAAAAUCUUCGACAUUUUAAGACCUCUUCUAUGGACUCUGUUCAGAGAAAACACCUUUCCUUUGGGGAUGAUGGAUGCUCAGCUCUAGUGGUCUUAUUCUCUCUGAUGGAAUUUUUUUUUUCUUUUGAUUGACUUUGUGGACAUCAGUGGUGAAGAUUUACGGGGUUUCUUACUAAUAAUGUAUUCACCAAAAUUAUUGCAGAGUUCUUUAUUAGCUGUAUAUAGUUAUGAGAUGUUGUGGGUAUUAUAGUCAUUUUAUGUGUCUACACCACUCUGUCUUGGUCAGCAAACGGGCUGCUAAUAGAUUAGUGUGAUCUCAAAUUAAAAACUUUUUAGAGUGGUUUAUGCAAAUUGCAUAACGUUGAUGUGUGGUUUUGACAAAUCCCCCUGAAGUCUUCUGGCUUAAUGGUUUAGCUUCGGACUUGAUAUGCUAAAAUUGUUGAUUACAUUCAUCUAAUUUACAUCAUGAUUUACUAUUAUUCCAUCAAUCAGAAUAUAUAUUAUUAUGCAAAAUAUUUUUUAUUAAUAAAAAAUAAAUUUUAUUGAUAAAAGAAGAAUUACACAAAGCUAGAGGACAAACGCGAUACAAACUGUGUUGCAAGCCCUACAUAUUCAUUAGAACCCGUCGUCAUCACAUUUGUAUUCAUAACCUUCUGCACCCUCGUGAGAAGUUCAACUGCUUUUGGUGUUAGAAACCCAAAAGUGUUAAAAGCAAAAAAAAAUAAAAUAAUAUUGGUUCGCUGCACAUGCUUCCUCUUUAGUUAUAUUAAAAAAAAUUGAAGAAAAUUUUGAUUAAAUUUGGGUAUAUUUACAUAGGUCGUGUUUGUUCUCUGGGAAAAAACCCGGAAAGUAAACGCACAUUAGCAAUUUUUUGUUGAUUUGCCUUUUCGAGAGUGCUUGGUAAUCCGAGUUGUGUGUGGGUCUCUCUGUAAAAAAAAUCUUAUAAAACGCAAAACACGUUAGCAAAUAAUACUGUUUUCAUAAACCCGAAUUUUUACGUAAAACAAUAAAUCUGGUCUCUCACUUGUGGUCCCCAGGGUUUUAUAUCUUGCCACGUCUCUUUUCCCAUUUUAUAGUUAGGUUAAACCAAGCAGCAUUACUGGUAAUAAAUACUCCCUCUGUCCCAAAUUAUAAGUACCUUUUGGAAUAUUCUACUUAUUAAGGAAACAUCAUUUAUUAUUUGUCUAUUAAGAGCAUUCCCAAUGAUAGGUUUUAGCACACUUUUAGUUAACUUUUAGUGAAAACAGUUGCCAAUGGUAGCUUUUAACACACUUUUCAAGCAAAACACUUUUAACUCCUUGGCAAAUUUGCCAAGGAGUUAAAAGUGCCACGUAGGAAUCCAUCCGCCACAAUUAGUGCGGUAUGGACUCAUCUAAAAGAAGAUCCAUCUGCCACAAUGAGUGCGGUAUGGAUCCAUCCGCCACAAUGAGUGCGGUAUGGAUCCAUACCCCACAUAGAUUGCGGUAUGGAUAAUCCACCAUUGGAAACACUAAAACCCUUUUUUCGCUAAAACCAUUGAAAACCCCAAAAUUCCUUAAAACCAUCCUAUGUGGCACCACUAAAAGUAUUUUACCAUUGGGAAUGCUCUAACUAUACUUCCAAAUUUACUCCUAUUUAAUGGAUUUUAUUUAUUAAACAUAGUCUCUUACUCUAAUUCCAAAGCAAGGGUAAUAUAGGUAAUAGAACAAUUUAACUUAAUUAAUGGCUGUGCUUGUUUCACGGUAAUUUAUGGAAAACAAAGAUUUACACAGAUUUUUUGAGUUCUGUUUUACUUUUGUUUUGUAAGAAAACGGCCGAUGUAUGCUUGUUAAUCAGUUGCAAAAAAUCCGGAAAACUGUAGAGAGAGGAGAGAAGAGACUAAAAUAAAUAAAAAUAAGAGAGAGAAAGUCAGAGAAGAGAGAGAAAGCGAGAGAGAAGCCGUUUUCCAAAUUAAUCUGGUUAUAACAAACCCGAAAUAUAUGAUGAGGUGUUUUAUCUGUUUUACAAAGUUUUCCGUGGACCCUAUAUAAUUUGGUGUACCACCAAGCACGCUGCAAAUAAGUAAACUUUCUAAAAUUCUGACGUGUCAUUGUUUUCAGCAGAGUUUCCCCGUGAAACAAGCACAGCCAAUAUGUAUUGAAAUAUGAAAAUGGACUUAUAUUUUGGGACAACCCAAAAAAGAAUAAGGUACUUAUAAUUUGGGACGGAGGGAGUAAAAACUUCUAAAAAAACUCUUACCUCGUUUAAAAAUAAAAAAGUUCUCCAUUUAUGUUUCCCCAAAAUUUUCGGGGAAACAAGCACAACCAUAAAGGUAAACUACCUAUCACGGAUAUAAUCAAGUCCAGUUGAACUAAAUCACGCGUAUAAAUAAAAUAAGCCCAAUCCAAAACAACUUAAAAUAGACCCUCUAAGCACUAGUCAAAACUCAAAAGUAUAAUCAAAUUCUGAGUUAGAGUUCAAUUAAAAUUCCCUUUUAUUAUAAAAGAGUUCAAUUGAAAUUCAAAGAGCAGGCAUUAUAUAAAUACUGUAUUAGGAACUUGCCAUUGUAUAUCAUAGAGGAAGAAGAAGGAAGAAACAGAAUGUCAUCGUCGUCAAAUAUCUCCAAUUCCUUGCCAUUGGAUAUCAUAGAGGAAGAAAUACUGACAAGAUUACCUGUCAAGUCUCUUAAGCGAUUUCAGUGCGUAUCUCAAUCAUGGAACAAUCUUAUUAGAAAUCCUCUCUUUGUCAGUAAGCACCUUAUUAUUAAUCAAUCUAAAGGCGCACAAAUCUUAGUUAAUCGAUCGACAGGUACACAAAUCUUAGUUAAUCAAAUCAUGAGCUACAACCCUUGUGAUUAUCAAAACUACACUUCUGAUUAUUCUCUUUUGGGCUUCUGCAAUGGUUUGCUAUGUGUUAAAGUUUUGACAACGUCGAGGAUAAUAAUAUGGAAUCCAGCAUCUAAAGAAAACAUAAUCUUGCCGCAGAAAAAAAUUCCUAAUAGUAGCCUUGAAGAAGAAUGCUAUGGCUUUGGUUAUGAUGCAAAAUCUGAUGAUUACAUAGUUUGUCAUUAUUUGGAGGCUUUUUUCAACAUAUACUCAGUAAGAGAAAACUCGUGGAGGAGAAUCGAAGAAUUUCGUUAUAAGAUUAUCUAUAGAGUAUAUGGAACUUUUCUUUCUGGUUCUAUCUAUUGGUUAGCUGCUCACAAACUAAUUAAAUCUAGUAAUUACUUCAUAAUCGCUUUCGACUUGGUUGACAAACAAUUUCGUGAGCUGCCCUUGCCUCAAUACCAAGAAAACAAAAAUUUAAAUCAUAUUGUUCUUGAUACCUUAGAUGAAUGUCUUUGUUCACUUCGCCGAAUUAACAUAAAACAGGUUGAGUUAUGGACGAUGAAGGAAGAUGGUUUACAGACAUCUUGGACAAAGUUGUAUACAAUUAGGAUGGAUAGACCACUCAUGGAGUCAAAGCUCUUAUACUAUAAUGCUGCAAGUGCAAAUCUUUUGCUAAAAGAUGGCUAUACCAUUAUUUUUUAUGACACAAAGGAGAGAAAUGUUAUUAGGAAGAGGACGAAGAGCUUAAAUAUUACAGAACAUGAUAUGGGUGCACUCACUUACUUUGAGAGUCUUGUUUCACCAGUGGUGCAUGGUUGCUUAGUAAAUAAUUAUGCAAGGAAAUCUCUAUUCCAAGAGAACAUGUAUGAACAUGUCUUAAAAUUCUCCUUUACUACUAAUGAAGGAUCUUAUCAAUGUAACCUUGUUACUUAUGAAAAGACUCCUCCAAAAGAAAACAUAUGACCAGUUUGUAGCGCCACUGUUUCUACUCUGGUGUAAUUUCUCGAGUUUAUGAAGAAGCAAGAAGCCCUUGACAUUUUAAGACCUCUUCUGUGAACUCUGUUCAGAGAAAAUACCUUUCGUUUGAGGACGAUGGAUCGUUUGAAUACAGUGUUGGGGAGGAGAAGGGUAUUACUGCGGUUGCGUCAUCAUUCUCCUACUCGCAUCCAUCUUAUGCUCGAUCAGCUCUAGUGGUCCUAUUCUUUCUGUGGUGUAAUUCUUUUUCUUUUGAUUGACUUUGUAGACAUCAGUGGUGAACCAACGGGGUUUCUUAGCGAAUAAUGUGUUUGGGAUAUGAGCGGACAGAUGUUAUUGGACAUGCUAAGCAUCUACUUUAUAAGUUUAAACAACCUGACAACAUCCCCAGGGUGACGGCCAUUACCAUUCUUCGAUGUGCAGGCCACAUUGAAGAUGCUACCUGGUUUUUUUCACCAGAGUUUGAUUGAGAAGGAGAUUAAUGGUCGAUCUCUUGUCAUUGAACAUGAACCGUGCGAUUGUGAUUAAGGUGUUUGUGAUUAACCGUGCUGGUAGUUUUCUGAAUGCUUUUGAAAGUUGCCUGAAUUCAAGAAGGUGGAGCUUCUGUAUUAUGACUGAGGAGAGGCAAGAAGAGGGUUGUGUUUCCUAAAGAAGUACAGUUCAAAAUGCUAAGCCUAUUUAGUAAAAGGGGAGUGAAUUUAGUUGUUUGAGGCAGUUGAUUCGUCGUUUGAGACUUGAGAGCAUGGUGUUUGAUCCCAGUGUAAACAACGGAAUUUAAUCUUGUGGUUUCUAGCCAUUUUCAAAGAAGAAGUAAGUGACUUAGAAGUCCGGGAUGUGAAACGGACUUACGGAAGCAUUCUCAUCAUGAAGACACGAUAAUGGAUACUCUUACAAUCAUAAUGGCCAGUUGUGAAUUUUGUGGAUGCAUGUUUUGUACAUUUAUAUCCACUGUAAACACUCACCUUUAGUUAAUCCAAUCUCGUGCUUUUAGAUUGCUGUUUUGCUGCUCAGUGUAUUCUUUGUUUUCUUGGAUACAUAAUUUGUAUGCAGCAAGUAAAAGAUUAGAGUACUACGUAAUGCUUAAUUGUUCAGUUAUUUGCCUUACAUUUCCUUGUUUCAGUCUUAAUAUCGCUUAGCAAUUUUCCCCUUUUCUCUUUAUUAUUUGGUUGCUAUCUCAGCUGUCAGUAAAAAUGUUGGAGUGCUACUUUGGUGUGGGUUUCCUGCCAAUUUGGCACUACUUUUCUUCUAGUGCCGUGCCCCUUGAGCCUUCUGGCUUCAUGGUUUUGCUUCUAGUUUUUCCAAACUUGAUUCGGCUAUAAUUGUUAAGCACUUGACUGCUAAUCCUUUUACGGUUUAGUUUCAAACACAGGCUCUAGACAUCUUCGCUCAGUUAGCAACGGAGAAUACAUUAAAGCUGGUUUACAGGAAUUAGAACAAUGGUGCACGACAGCAACAGAGCAGGUAUGCUCAUCAUGUUGAGAUACUAUUGAUCAAGCAACAUGGAAACAAAGCACGUUUUCUUUUAGGGUCUGUUUUAUUCGGGUGGGAAAAUAAUUUAUCAGAAAAUAGAUUUACCAUAUACAAAUAUUUAGAAAAUAAAAUUUUCUUAUAAUGACUAUAGUGCUAUAUUCAAGAAUUUGGAUAUGCAAUUUUUUGUUUUCUCUCUUCUUAAUCGUUCACAUCUUUUCAAACAAUUACUUCGAAUUGGUUUGGGGUUUCAAUUUUUUUUUCUUUUAAUUCUAACUGAUGAAAAUUAAUUUUUCCAAGAAGGUUAGUGCCUUAGUGGCCUUUUUCUUUUGUUAUUGGUACCUUUAAUUCAAGUUGUAUAUCAUGGUCUGUCACUCUAUCUUAUUACAAAUUAAGCCUUAGUUUGCGGUUCACAUAUGUACAAAUACAAAAUUAUCCUUUUGAAUCCUAAUCAAUUAAGCUACCAGGAGAUAUAAGUGCCAUGACGUACUUUGGCAAGCUAGAGAGUGUAGAAGUGGGCGCAAGGCAUUUGUGGACGAGACAAGAUUUUUUUUUAAUCAUCUGAUUAUCUAAAGCAAUGCAAUACAUUAAGUAAUCAGUAUAUCUUAAAGGCGAUAUAUAAACAAUUCAUCAACUAUGGAAACCCUAGAAUCAACUGCAGAUAGAUGACUUUAUCACCAUUUCAAUCUGAGUUUGGAACAUAUGUUUAUAACCUUGGCAGAAGGGCAAUGUCUCUUUGUCAUUUUAUUUUCUAAUGAAAAAAAUUUCUUGUAACAAUUCGGCUUGGAAGUUAGGACCCAAGCCCAAGUUUCUAUUUGCUCAACCGGAUUUUGGAUGCUUCGGUCAUCCCAGUUUCACUCACCGGUUCGGUAUGCAACGGGCGAUUCUUUGUUACUCAAAACACUUCUUUUUACACUUAAUUAAUAAAAGGGAGGGGUGGGUUCCAGGGACUCAGGAAAUGUUUGACUCAAUUUUGACUCAAUCCUAUUUAAGGUACUUUUACAUAUUGGAUUGACAUGAUUUUGGGUAGAUAUGAUCUCCUUAGUGUAAAGAUCUACUUUGAAAAGUUAACUAAUUUAGACAACCAACUUUAAAUCCUUCUAAUUUAGGCAACAUACUUUCAAUUUGUUCUCAAUUUUGGCAUCCCAACUUUUUUCGUUAAAUUUUUUUAACUACACCGUUAACCCAUGCUGACGUGGAUAUUUUUUGUCCACAUGUCAUGUGGGACUUUGCUGAUGUGGCAAAUUUUAUUUGAAAAAAAUAAAUUUUUUUUGCAUCACAUUGAAAUUAAUUGCUUAAAAAAAUAAUUAACUUUAAUUCAGGGAUCAAUUAUUGAGUUGAUAAUAAUUGUUUCAAACUGUUUGCAGCGUCUAAGUAUACAGAACACCAACAAUUGUUCCAUGAUAAAGGCUCCCAGCUGUAGUGGAAGGACCUCUGCACAAGUUAUUCGACAUUCAAUAGCGAAGGAGAUGGGUAUACCUGACUCUCAAGUCCCCUAGAGUUCGAUUUAUCUUGGAAUAUAUAAACCUAAAAAGAAAGUUCCACGAAGGCCUGAUUUGCUUCUAAGUGUUCCCUAGAUACUAUUUUUCUUUUUAUAUUCUUAGCUUUGUUGUAACGAAUGAUAUUCUUAAAAGAUAUUCACACAUCUUUCGAUAAAUACUUGAAUAGGAAAGAGUUAAUCAGUCCAUCUUGUCAAAUCCACACUUACAGGCAACUUUUGAUGAUAUCGUGGUUGAGGUGCGGAUGCAUUAUUAUCUGAUUUUAUGCAAUUUUUCUGUAUGGGAAUAUUUCUUUAUUAUACAUUGAUUUAAUUAUGAUUUAUUAAAUAGGUUCUCGGGAAAGAUAGUAGGGGUUGCAUGAAAGCGAUGGGUGCAGGUGUCAGCAAAACUUCUCUAAAGGCCAUAACUCCACUGCUGAAGAGGUAUGAAAAAGAGGCACAGACGAUUGCUGAAUGGAAACAACAAGUAGAUGGGAAGUUUGAUGGCCUUUAAGCUCAAAUAGUGCAACUCAACCGUGCAGUUCAAACAGGAUCAGGUAGGAGACCGCCCAUACUUGUUGGUUCAAGUUCACAAAUGCAAGUGGAAGUUAAUACGGUACGCUUUGUAAUUACAUAUGCAACCAGAUACAUGCCAGUAGAUAUCAUUUUUCCUCUUAAAAAACUUUGUUUAGGAUUUUGAUUAUUUGUGAAAUAAAUAAAGUUGUUAGUAUUCCUUUGUCUAUCUUACCAUCACACAAAGUUACAAACAUAGACUUUACUAUUGCUUAUAUGUUAGUGGCACAUAUGUCAGUGACUUUAUAACUUGCUUUUGUUUCCGUAAAUAGUCAAUUUCAUCCAAUUCUAUAAAUUUGCUGUAAUGUGUCUUGUGUCUUUUAAAAUUAUAACUAUUAUAGGACAUCCUAUUGUGUUUAAUUCUUUUAUAGGACAUCCAAUUCUAUAAAUUUGUUGUAGUGUGUUUAGUUCUUUUAUAACACAUCCUAUUGUAGUGAAUAAACUGUUAUUACAAUCAUUUGACCUUCUAAGUUUUUUCCUGGUUGCUUGUGAACUUUUCUGCCGGUUAUGUGAACCAUCAUUAUACCAUUUACUUUACAUUUUGCUUGUAGAUUUAUCCAUUGCUUACUCUUUUAAUUUCCCCCCUGAAGUAGUCUAAUUUUUUUGAUAGACUAUGAUUGUUUUGUAAACAAACUACCAUAAUAUUGUUUCAGGAGGUUAGUUUGUUUGGUGGUUGUCAUUUCCAAGUCGUCGCAAAGGGAAAGGUGAAAGAUGUUAACCCAAACUCCAAGUGUGCAAGAUGCCUAGGAGAAGGAAAUUUCUUAGUUUACAUUGAGUGUACGUUUAUACCACAUGCUUUGUUGCCAUGCCCUCAUGAUGAAUGGUGUACGACUUUGGGACAGAUUGGGCAGGGAUUUGUAAUUUGGCCGAAGAUGUGCCUCGAGUUUCAUCACUAGCAAGGUUUGUUGUUAAUUCUUUUAUGAUAAAAUUGUUUAAUCAAUGUUGGUAAGCAAGUCUGACAAGGGUAUUUUCAAAUAUAAUUUUCAGUCUUCUUUCAAACAAAACCAGUUUCGUUGGAUUUAAUAGGUUUUUGCCUUAAAAUUUUCAAAUAUCUGUCUUAAAUUUUUUAAUAUUUGUAACUGAAAUUUGAUAAGUUCUUGCCUUAUAUUUUCUCGAGAUUUGCAUAUAUAUUUUCUCGAUAUUUGCAUAAGUACUUAAGAUAUGAGGUAGAUAGGAGCUGAGGACAACACUUUGCUCCCAACUGGUAUAGAGCGAAGGUUUUUCGUGUUUUACUAUACAGUACUAUCACUAUGCCUUGUAAUUGUUACUAGCUUUUAGUUUUUAUAGCCUGCGGGACAAUCAUAAAAUAACAAGUUAUAUACAGUAAUUAACCAAAAAUCAUUUACAAUAUGUUAUGUUUUUUUGUAAACAAAAAUUAAAUUCUGAUUUUUGAAAUAAAAUCGUUGAAGAAUACAUUUAUAAGUUACAAAGUGGUUGUUAUGAAAAAAUGUUUGACGUCUCCGUAUGGCCGUAUGUUCAUUAUUUUUACCUACUGCUUAAUGUAGAACUGGGAGACGUUGGUUGUUGAUGCGUGGUAGGGGUGACUGCUCUCUGCUCUCUGUUUAAUGAUUGACUGUCAUUAAACAGAGAACACAACCUACUUUCUUUGUCAUUGGGGCUGUCAUUCUACUUAUUGAGUUAUUUAUGAAUUCGACCCCAAAGAUUGGUCUGCGAUCAAUCUUCAAACCCUAAAAUAAACUGGAACCCUAUUUUAAGGUUGGUAUCUUGUUCAUUGAGUGAAGUCCAUCAUGGACACAUGAGCUUCAAAGAUAGAAAGAACUGGAUUUUGUUGAGUGGAAGUUGAAGCACUUGUCACUUCUGGAAUCUCUGCUUGAAAGACAUGCUAGAUUACUCAGAAUACCCUGCAGCCAUGUCCAAUCCCCUUUUCAUCUAUAUAUGAAGAGAAAAGGAUCCGGGUUUUUCCAGUAUGUGCAUUUGGAGCAUGCAAUUUAGGUUUGAUGAGGUUUUCCUUGGUUUGUGGGUCACAUACACGUUGCAUAAUGUGUGUUUAUAGAGGAAAAAGUAGGCCAUCUUCUACAUAAGCUGUUUUGAAUAAAGAGUCGUUGUUUGGUAGUUAGGCGUGCUGCUAAUUCUAUGGUCCAUAUGUGUUGUCAAUCUAGGAAAUUGGUUUAUGUAAUUUGUACUUGCUUUAAAAAAUCUCCACAUGUAAGUAUGCUUGAUAGUUUUGAUGGUUCCAAUCCAUGUCUAUUUGAUUUCACAAAGUACUUUUAUUUGUUCUUAAUAUUGAGAGGGCGAUCAAAACAAAGUUGGAGGGUGAAAUUCAGAGUUUCAUUCUCUGCAGUUCUCCUCUUGUUUACACUUCACCUAGCUGAUAAUAUUAUCACAUCCCCUUAUAUGAUAAGUUACCUAAUAAUUGGGAUGAAGAUAUUUGUGGUUGCUUCUUGUCCUGGUCUCGUCACUUUAUUUCUCACGCACAACGUACAUGUAGUUGCUUGACUUUCAUUAACCAUUAUUAGUAAGAAUUAAUUCUUUUGAGUUUUGCACUCUAUUCUUACUCUGUUGUAUAAUGGCAGUACAGAACCUUCUAUUCAUUGAGAACAUGGAGAAAAGGAUUCAGAGUGCAAGCUUAGUGUUUUUACCUACUGCUUAAUGUAGAACUGGGAGACGUUGGUGGUUGACGUGUGGUAGGGGUGACUGCUCUCUGUUCACUAGAAACAAACCAAUAUUGCUGCAGACCAAAGGAAGGGAUUUGUAGGAUAGCUUUUGAUGGUUGCGAACUGUUGCAAGAACGUAAUUGUUUUGAACUCCAUUUUAUUUCAUUGGUGUAAUUGUUUCAAAGUUGAUGACAUACAUGUUGUUGUUGUAACUAUUUAUUUUGGAGUUUUGUCUUAAAUGUUUGAGAAGAUAAAGUAAAAUGUUUUCUCUUUUGGAAUUGCAUCAGGCACUGACAGUACUGAAAUAUUGAAAAUGUGAAUGUAGGAAUUUUUUUUUUUUUUUUUUUUUUAUUUCCAAAAUGUUAUUCGCCACUGUCCUUGGCAGUGGCAAUUUUGGGUUUUUGCCACUGCCAUGGGCUGUGACAAAGUAUUUGCUACCCCACUUGUUGCCACUGCCAGAAGCAGUGGCAAAAGGCCUUUAGCCACUGCUUAGAGCAGUGGCAAAUACUUGGUUUUCUAGUAGUGUUCUAAUAACUCGACAAGAAAUUUUUGUUCUUUUUUCCUAUAUACUUAUCCAAAACAAUACAUUACAUCAAGUAAUCAGUAUAUCUUCCAAAUGAUAUCAUCAACUCAUCACCAGAUAGAAGACAUUAUCACCAUUUCAAUUUGAGUUGAGUAUCAAUAAUUUCACACUAUAUGCUUCUCAGUUGGUGUCAAUUCAUUGGCCAAUUCCAUGGUGACACCACCAGUACCCUUCUAUCUAUACCAACUAGCACAUACUAGAAAAUAUCCGAAAUUGAGAAUGCCUAAGGCAACAAACAGGUAACAAAGCAAUCCAGUCUUCCUUUUGACAAGAAACCUUUUUUUACUAUUCCAUUUGCUUAGCUAACACA